GAUGAACGCUGGCGGCGUGCCUAAUACAUGCAAGUCGAGCGAACGGACGAGAAGCUUGCUUUUCUGAUGUUGGCGGCGGACGGGUGAGUAACACGUGGAUAACCUACCUAUAAGACUGGGAUAACUUCGGGAAACCGGAGCUAAUACCGGAUAAUAUUUUGAACCGCAUGGUUCAAAAGUGAAAGACGGUCUUGCUGUCACUUAUAGAUGGAUCCGCGCUGCAUUAGCUAGUUGGUAAGGUAACGGCUUACCAAGGCAACGAUGCAUAGCCGACCUGAGAGGGUGAUCGGCCACACUGGAACUGAGACACGGUCCAGACGCCUACGGGAGGCAGCAGUAGGGAAUCUUCCGCAAUGGUCGAAAGCCUGACGGGGCAACGCCGCGUGAGUGAUGAAGGUCUUCGGAGCGUAAAACUCUGUUAUUAGGGAAGAACAUAUGUGUAAGUAACUGUGCACAUCUUGACGGUACCUAAUCAGAAAGCCACGGCUAACUACGUG
rnacentral:rRNA from 1 species